rnacentral:rRNA from 1 species
UAGGAGGGCUUGCCUUCCUACCUAGCGGCGCACGGUCGAGUAACACGUAGACAACCUGCCCGGCAGUGGGGGAUAACAGCUGGAAACGGCUGCUAAUACCGCAUGUGGUAAGGAGCGGCAUCGCUUCUCUACUAAAGGAGCAAUUCGCUGCCGGAUGGGUCUGCGGCCUAUCAGCUAGUUGGGGGGGUAACGGCCUCCCAAGGCGACGACGGGUAGCGGGUCUGAGAGGAUGAUCCGCCGGACGGGGACUGAGACACGGCCCCGACUCCUUCGGGAGGCAGCAAUGAGGAAUAUUGCGCAAUGGGCGAAAGCCUGACGCAGCGACGCCGCGUGGGUGAGGAAGUCCUUCGGGAUGUAAAGCCCUUUUGCCGGGGACGAUACCAGACGGUACCCGGCGAAUAAGCCCCGGCUAACUACGUGCCAGCAGCCGCGGUAAUACGUAGGGGGCGAGCGUUGUCCGGAUUUACUGGGCGUAAAGCGCGCGUAGGCGGAAGUGUAAGUGUGGCCUGAAAGCCCCCGGCUCAACCGGGGAGGGCGGCUGCAAACUGCGCUUCUUGAGGGCGAUAGAGGAGUGUGGAAUUCCUGGUGUAGCGGUGAAAUGCGUAGAGAUCAGGAGGAACACCCGUGGCGAAGGCGGCACUCUGGGUCGGCCCUGACGCUGAGGCGCGAAAGCGUGGGGAGCGAACGGGAUUAGAUACCCCGGUAGUCCACGCCGUAAACGAUGGUCACUAGGUGUGUGCGGUAUCGACCCCGCACGUGCCGCAGCUAACGCAAUAAGUGACCCGCCUGGGGAGUA